GGCUGAGAAGCAAUACGCAGUGCCACCUACUGGCAGAAUAUGAUAAUAGCCGGCAGAAGCCAUUACGAUUCUAACGCGAGUUCAAACGUGCGUGUUUUUGUACUUCGCUUAUUAUUUUCCGCUUAUAUUUUUGUUAGAAGCAUUAUUUAACGUAGUAUUAAGAUAUUAAGAUAUCACGCUGUUAUCGCAGUUAUGGGACUUGACGAGUUACGAUGAAAAACUAUGAAUCGUUACGUUGUAAAUGGAGAUAUUCCAGAUUCAGUUACCGGCAGAAAAAUUAUCGGAAAUUACCCGUCUCUGAAUGGGAGUCUUAAUCGAUAAGUGAGCAAAAGGAAGGAAGGAAGGAAGGAAGGAAGGAAGGAAGGAAGGAAGGAAGGAAGGAAGGAAGGAAGGAAGGAAAGAUUGAACGAAGAAACGAAGAAAGAACAUAGAUAUGGAGGGGAGAAAAAACGAGUGCUCGCGAACGUGUACGCGCGACCAUUCUAACCGAGUCACGAUGAGAAAUCCACACCUGUCUGAACACACGAAGUGUCGUACCACUUAAGCGUCCAGAACUCGCUGCUUCUGUUCGACAUGAAAAAGAAAAAAAGAAACAAACAAAGAGAAAGAAGAAGAAAGGAAAGUAUUAACAUCGUUUGAACAAUUUUCAAAGGAAACCAUGAAUAUAUCGGUUCCGACGAAUAUCUUAGCCUAAUCUACUUUGUUAUAAGGAUAAAGUAACGAAACGAUAAGGAGCUCGUUAAUUGAAUUGACAGCAAUUAAUAUCGUCGAAUCGUUCUUCCUACGUUUCUCCUUCUCAGAGCCAUCGUUUCAAUGGGAUAGACGAAAGAAAACCUGAUAAGCGGGACGUCCCUCCCGAUGGAUGAAAAGUUGAUUCGGUCAUAAAUCAAUCUAGACGCGAUUUACUUUCUUGGAGUAGCGCCAACCGAACGAAGGAACGGAAUUCUGCAGUCAAUGAUUUCUUCAUUCCGCAUUCGUAUACUCGUUCGAUAGAUGAAUUCGUCUUCUUCGAUAAGGUUUGAAGAAGAAAAGAGUGGAAAAGGAAAAUAAAAAGGAAGAGGAGGAGGAAGGGGAAGAGAAGAAGAAGAAGAAGAAGAAGAAAAUAAUAAAAAGAAAACGAAAAAAGAAAAUAAAAAUCCAAAUGAGUAGGAGAGGAGAGUGGUGGGGAGGGGGUGCAGGAGAGGAGACGUUAUCGCGAAUAAUCGAAAGAGAUAGGAGGAAAAGGGGAUUAUCUCGAAGAGAAGCAAAGAGAGUAAAAGUUCGGAGAAUGAAUUGCGGGGGAAGAUGAAACAAUGAAACGACGAUAACGACGCGCUAGCAGUUACGAAAAUAAAUGUAUGCGAGCGAUUACGAGAGAGGGAGAGAGAGAGAGAGAGAGAGAGAGUCCGUUGGUAUUUCCAGUCUGAAGGCCCGACGAGUGCCGAGAAAUGAAAUUUUACGCGAUCCUUGCUCGUUCGAACGAUUUGCAUUUCACAAAGAGAGAAAACAAUGCUCGGAGUCUGACGUAGGACGAGAUUAUUCCUCCAUCUAAUUUCACUUGGCUCUUCGUUAUACCCAAAGACUUCCUAAUGUCGCUUCUUAGAAAUUCAGUGAGUCAGUACGCCGACAACGCCGACGCCGACGACGACGACGACGACGACGACGACAACGACGACGACGACGAAUGUUGGUCCACUUUCUUGCAAAAGAUACGUAUUUGCCAGCGGCACGUGGCUCUACGAGUCUUCCAUGCAUAAAAUCUCCAUGAAUUGAAGAAAAUGUCGUGAACGUUGCGUUAUAUUACAUCUAGAAUUAUCAUUAGGUUUUUUAAUUCUCCCUAUUUCGUUACUUUCGAAGAAAAAUAUUCGACCAACUUGGAUAGAGGAGAUAAAUGAAAUGUGUUUAAAUAAUAGGAAAUAAUUAAGAAAAUGAAUAGGAGGCUUUUUCCGAGCUGCUGAAAUGUUGGACGUGCCAUUUGCAAGGAUUAUUAGAGACCCAUGCUCUCUCUCUCUCUCUCUCUCUCUCCGUCCUUUAUUCCCUUUUCCUCUUAUCCUCUCCCUUUCUAGCUCUUUCUUUUUCCCUCUCUCAGAGUGAAUAUUAUUCGUAGUCGCUAAUAAAAAGCACACCGUACCGUUGUUAUGCCGAGCAUGGCUUCAUAUACCGAGAAAAGUUUUGCCCCUUUUACCGUGCCUAGUGUAUAUUUACGUUGACUGGAUCUUUCCAAUUUCCGGUGUGGCCGAGGGACGCUUCGUCAUACUUUACGACAAUAUCGACGUCCUUCUCCGUUUGCCCACGCGUCGCCCAAUAAAAACGUAGACCAUUUCGUGCCACCAGGGAAAAGGAAGUUGAAAAGGGAAAUUGUCGAUGUUAAAUUCUUCGAGUGAGGAAGGGCGCGUCCUGUAAUCUAUCUACAUCGAGCGAUUUUCUUCUUCUUCGUUAUUAUCGAUUAUAUCGUGACGUAAGAAAUCGCCGAAUAAUUUUCUAUCGAAUAAUAAUUGGAUCGCUUUAUUCGGACCGAUGAAAUCGUAAACAUUCCAAUUUAAAAACACGAUCACAAUCGCGACGAGUAGUUUUCUCGUUAGCGACGUAAGGACCAUCGAUUAUUCAUUAUUCCUCGAUAUUACGACGCAUCUAUGAACGUGAAGAAAUGUUAGGACGAAAAGAAAGAUAAAGAUGUAUAAAGGAAUCUGAGAAGGACGAUACGCUAACGUCGAUGACGAAAGAAUGAAAUCAGUAAUCGUCGGAGAUGGAAUCGAUCUCUUUUUCUAUAGAAAACAUAAGUCGUGAUAAUUGGAAUGACGAGUGGCCCACUUAUCUCGAUGGCGAGACGUAGGCACUUAAUAUCGUCGAUAAAUAAGAGUUACGUCGUCUUACUUUAUGCGUAUUUAUGAGGGUAUGCGAAAGACGAUAGUAUGGCAAGGAACGAUGGCGAAUUUGGUAGGAGAGCUUCGUUUUCACAUCUACGACCCUUUUCCCUUAUAAAUAAAUUCCAUUGAGAAAAUAAGAAGACAUUUUGCGGGAAAAGCAUAUAAGAGAAAGAGAGAAGAGAAGAGGGAAAGAAAGAAAGAAAGAGCAGCGAAGAAAAAGAAAGAGAGAGACAGAGAGAGGGAGACAGACAGAAAGAGAGAGAGAAAUAGAAAGAGAGAGAGAGAGAGAGAGAGAGAGAGAGAGAGAGAGAGAGAAAGAAAACGAAUUUUAUCGGAUCGCAAAGUCCCAGCCCGAAGAAUAACUUUUGUCGUUGAAACUUUACGAGAGGGUAAGUCGAAUUAAGCUUAAGUAGUGCUUCCUAAAGGCUCUGCAAUUAUAAUACGAGACGGCGGAGAGAACGACCAUGACAGUUCGCAGCGGCUACUCCAUCUCAAAUUGGACGGUCCUCGUAUUUUUAUUAUGCACGCAAUUAAGAACAUUUCAGAAAGAUAUAACGAGGACGGUUCGGUUCCGUGAAAAUCGCAAUUACUUCGAAGCAUUUCCACACGAUGGACCCGACUUUAUUUCUCAGUUUCGUUGGAACGAACAAAAUUUUCGAUAUCGUUUGAGAAGGAAAAAUAGAAAAGACAAAAAAGGAAAAAAGAAUAAAGCGGGAAAUAAAAAAAAAAUAAAUCCAUGAAAUAGCUUCAACAAAA